CGGUAAUACGGGAGUGGCAAGCGUUAUCCGGAAUUAUUGGGCGUAAAGCGUCCGCAGGCGGUUUUACAAGUCUGUCGUUAAAACGUGGAGCUCAACUCCAUUUCGGCGAUGGAAACUGUAAGACUAGAGUGUGGUAGGGGCAGAGGGAAUUCCCGGUGUAGCGGUGAAAUGCGUAGAUAUCGGGAAGAACACCAGUGGCGAAGGCGCUCUGCUGGGCCAUAACUGACGCUCAUGGACGAAAGCUAGGGGAGCGAAAGGGAUUAGAUACCCCUGUAGUCCUAGCCGUAAACGAUGAACACUAGGUGUCGGGGGAAUCGACCCCCUCGGUGUCGUAGCCAACGCGUUAAGUGUUCCGCCUGGGGAGUACGCACGCAAGUGUGAAACUCAAAGGAAUUGG
rnacentral:rRNA from 1 species